rnacentral:rRNA from 1 species
CAGUCGCCGCGGUAAUACGUAGGUGGCAAGCGUUGUCCGGAAUUAUUGGGCGUAAAGGGCUCGCAGGCGGUUUCUUAAGUCUGAUGUGAAAGCCCCCGGCUCAACCGGGGAGGGUCAUUGGAAACUGGGAAACUUGAGUGCAGAAGAGGAGAGUGGAAUUCCACGUGUAGCGGUGAAAUGCGCAGAGAUGUGGAGGAACACCAGUGGCGAAGGCGACUCUCUGGUCUGUAACUGACGCUGAGGAGCGAAAGCGUGGGGAGCGAACAGGAUUAGAUACCCCUGUAGUCCCUGUCUCUUAUAC